UCCAACUUGAGAGUUUGAUCCUGGCUCAGAGCGAACGCUGGCGGCAGGCUUAACACAUGCAAGUCGAGCGGGCGUAGCAAUACGUCAGCGGCAGACGGGUGAGUAACGCGUGGGAACGUACCUUUUGGUUCGGAACA
rnacentral:rRNA from 1 species